rnacentral:rRNA from 1 species
AAUGAACGUUGGCGGCGUGGAUUAGGCAUGCAAGUCGUGCGAGAACCGUAGCAAUACGGGGACAGCGGCGAAAGGGAGAGGAAUACGCGGGUACCUACCCUCGGAUCCGGGAUAGCUACGGGAAACUGUAGGUAAUACCGGAUAACGUCUUCGGACCAAAGGUGUGAUUCCGUCCGAGGAGGGGCCCACGUCCUAUUAGCUUGUUGGUGAGGUAACGGCUCACCAAGGCUGAGAUGGGUAUGGGAUGUGAGAGCAUGAUCCCACUCACUGGGACUGAGACACUGCCCAGACACCUACGGGUGGCUG